rnacentral:other from 1 species
CGUGCGCACACGCCGAAUCCCGCAAGGGAGCCGGGGAACCACACUCCCUGGGGUGAAUCGCGUGGACGCCGCCGUGGAGUCACGGCCGGUAUACGCGUGUAGGAGACCUUCCUGCUCCGAACCCGUCAG